rnacentral:rRNA from 1 species
AGCGAACGCUGGCAGCAGGCCUAACACACGCAAGUCGAACGAAGUCUUCGGACUUAGUGGCGGACGGGUGAGUAACACGUGGGAACGUGCCUUUAGGUUCGGAAUAACUCAGGGAAACUUGUGCUAAUACCGAAUGUGCCCUUCGGGGGAAAGAUUUAUCGCCUUUAGAGCGGCCCGCGUCUGAUUAGCUAGUUGGUGAGGUAAAGGCUCACCAAGGCGACGAUCAGUAGCUGGUCUGAGAGGAUGAUCAGCCACAUUGGGACUGAGACACGGCCCAAACUCCUACGGGAGGCAGCAGUGGGGAAUCUUGCGCAAUGGGCGAAAGCCUGACGCAGCCAUGCCGCGUGAAUGAUGAAGGUCUUAGGAUUGUAAAAUUCUUUCACCGGGGACGAUAAUGACGGUACCCGGAGAAGAAGCCCCGGCUAACUUCGUGCCAGCCGCCGCAGUAAGAC